rnacentral:rRNA from 1 species
UACGUAGGGUGCGAGCGUUAAUCGGAAUUACUGGGCGUAAAGCGUGCGCAGGCGGUUUUGUAAGCCAGACGUGAAAGCCCCGGGCUUAACCUGGGAAUGGCAUUUGGGACUGCAAGGCUUGAGUGUGGCAGAGGAGACUGGAAUUCCCGGUGUAGCAGUGAAAUGCGUAGAUAUCGGGAGGAAUACCGAUGGCGAAGGCAGGUCUCUGGGCUGACACUGACGCUCAUGCACGAAAGCGUGGGGAGCAAACAGG